rnacentral:rRNA from 1 species
AGUGAACGCUGGCGGUAGGCCUAACACAUGCAAGUCGAACGGCAGCACAGUAAGAGCUUGCUCUUACGGGUGGCGAGUGGCGGACGGGUGAGGAAUACAUCGGAAUCUACUUUUUCGUGGGGGAUAACGUAGGGACACUUACGCUAAUACCGCAUACGACCUACGGGUGAAAGCAGGGGAUAUUCGGACCUUGCGCGUUUCAAAUAGCUGAUGUCGGAUUAGCUAGUUGGCAGGGUAAAGGCCCACCAAGGCAACGAUCCGUAGCUGGUCUGAGAGGAUGAUCAGCCACACUGGAACUGAGACACGGUCCAGACUCCUACGGGAGGCAGCAGUGGGGAAUAUUGGACAAUGGGCGCAAGCCUGAUCCAGCCAUACCGCGUGAGUGAAGAAGGCCUUGGGGUUGUAAAGCCCUUUUGUUGGGAAAGAAAAACAGCAGAUUAAUACCCCGCUGUUCUGACGGUACCCAAAGAAUAAGCACCGGCUAACUUCGUG